CUGGCGGCAGGCCUAACACAUGCAAGUCGAGCGGUAGAGAGGUGCUUGCAUCUCUUGAGAGCGGCGGACGGGUGAGUAAUGCCUAGGAAUCUGCCUAGUGGUGGGGGAUAACGUUCGGAACGGACGCUAAUACCGCAUACGUCCUACGGGAGAAAGCGGGGGAUCUUCGGACCUCGCGCCAUUAGAUGAGCCUAGGUCGGAUUAGCUAGUUGGUGAGGUAAUGGCUCACCAAGGCGACGAUCCGUAACUGGUCUGAGAGGAUGAUCAGUCACACUGGAACUGAGACACGGUCCAGACUCCUACGGGAGGCAGCAGUGGGGAAUAUUGGACAAUGGGCGAAAGCCUGAUCCAGCCAUGCCGCGUGUGUGAAGAAGGUCUUCGGAUUGUAAAGCACUUUAAGUUGGGAGGAAGGGUAGUAACCUAAUACGUUGCUACUUUGACGUUACCGACAGAAUAAGCACCGGCUAACUUCGUG
rnacentral:rRNA from 1 species